rnacentral:rRNA from 1 species
UGGUAGUGUAUUGGACAACCAUGGCUUUCACGGGUAACGGAGGAUUAGGGUUCGAUUCCGGAGAGGGAGCCUGAGAAACGGCUACCACAUCUAAGGAAGGCAGCAGGCGCGUAAAUUACCCAAUCCUGACUCAGGGAGGUAGUGACAAGAAAUAACGGACCGAGGCUUUCGGGCUUCGGGAUUGCAAUGAGCCGAAUUUACACCCCUUAGCGAGGAUCGAUUGGAGGGCAAGUCUGGUGCCAGCAGCCGCGGUAAUUCCAGCUCCAAUAGCGUAUAUUAAAGUUGUUGCAGUUAAAAAGCUCGUAGUUGGAUUUCUGGGAGGGUGCCAAUGUCCGCCGACGUGCGUGCGCAGCGGCGCCCUUCCAUCCUUCUGUUAACGCCUCUUGGCAUUCAUUUGCUGGUGGCGGGCUCAGAUAUUUUACCUUGAGAAAAUUAGAGUGUUUCAGGCAGGCUAGGCCGGAAUACAUUAGCAUGGAAUAAUUGAAUAGGACUACGGUCUCUUUGUUGGUUUGAGGGACUGCAGUAAUGAUUAAUAGGGAUAGUUGGGGGCAUUAGUAUUUAAUUGUCAGAGGUGGAAUUCUCGGAUUUGUUAAAGACUAACUUAUGCGAAAGCAUUUGCCAAGGA